rnacentral:lncRNA from 1 species
CAAUUUUGUUGUGAAGUAUCGUAUCGACAUGCUUCAUUAAAAUGCUUGAUCAAUACUCACUGUAGAAACAUGUAAUUUAAAACAAGACGAACCAAUAUAAUCAUCAUAAUGUAAGUCUCCAGCAUUUUAAUCUCUGUCGAUUGUCAAUAUAACUCAACAAGUCUAAAUACUUAAAAUUGAGGCUCACACUUCAUAUCUAGCUCAUAAUGUAGUAACUCCCACUUUUUUGCAAGUAUGCAUGUUGCAAAAGCUUGCUCAAAGGAUCGUCAAAAUGGUGUUUUUUCAAACUCAGUCCAACGUUACCUUUCUCGACUAAACAACCAUUCCAAUUGGUUCCAAUCCACAACCCAUAUAUUCACCUCGAUUGCUUCUCAAACUCAUCCACAAGGGACAAGAUAACGGUGAUGAUUUGUAGCCACAAAGGCAAGAAGAAAACACAAAGUUAAUCACCAAUUUUUCGUACACAAAGUUAACCGGUUUCUUCUCUUCAAA